CAUCGGUUAACCCUUGAUUUGUGGCUCGCCAAGGAUAACAGGUUCUUGAAUCCUAAGAGCUCCUACAAAAGGAUUCUGAUGGCACCUUCAUGUCGGUUCAUCU
rnacentral:rRNA from 1 species